rnacentral:tRNA from 1 species
UAGCUUUAUUGGUAAAGUGCUUACCUUGAAAGCAUGAGGACCUGAGUUCAAGUCUCAG